rnacentral:rRNA from 1 species
AAGUUGCAACCUUCUAGCCUGUGCGGGACGGAGUGAGUAAUGCUUAGGAAUCUGCCUAUUAGUGGGGGACAACAUUUCGAAAGGAAUGCUAAUACCGCAUACGUCCUACGGGAGAAAGCAGGGGAUCUUCGGACCUUGCGCUAAUAGAUGAGCCUAAGUCGGAUUAGCUAGUUGGUGGGGUAAAGGCCUACCAAGGCGACGAUCUGUAGCGGGUCUGAGAGGAUGAUCCGCCACACUGGGACUGAGACACGGCCCAGACUCCUACGGGAGGCAGCAGUGGGGAAUAUUGGACAAUGGGCGCAAGCCUGAUCCAGCCAUGCCGCGUGUGUGAAGAAGGCCUUAUGGUUGUAAAGCACUUUAAGCGAGGAGGAGGCUACUGGAGUUAAUACCUUCAGAUAGUGGACGUUACUCGCAGAAUAAGCACCGGCUAACUCUGUGCCAGCAGCCGCGGUAAUACAGAGGGUGCAAGCGUUAAUCGGAUUUACUGGGCGUAAAGCGCGCGUAGGCGGCUAAUUAAGUCAAAUGUGAAAUCCCCGAGCUUAACUUGGGAAUUGCAUUCGAUACUGGUUAGCUAGAGUGUGGGAGAGGAUGGUAGAAUUCCAGGUGUAGCGGUGAAAUGCGUAGAGAUCUGGAGGAAUACCGAUGGCGAAGGCAGCCAUCUGGCCUAACACUGACGCUGAGGUGCGAAAGCAUGGGGAGCAAACAGGAUUAGAUACCCUGGUAGUCCAUGCCGUAAACGAUGUCUACUAGCCGUUGGGGCCUUUGAGGCUUUAGUGGCGCAGCUAACGCGAUAAGUAGACCGCCUGGGGAGUACGGUCGCAAGACUAAAACUCAAAUGAAUUGACGGGGGCCCGCACAAGCGGUGGAGCAUGUGGUUUAAUUCGAUGCAACGCGAAGAACCUUACCUGGCCUUGACAUAGUAAGAACUUUCCAGAGAUGGAUUGGUGCCUUCGGGAACUUACAUACAGGUGCUGCAUGGCUGUCGUCAGCUCGUGUCGUGAGAUGUUGGGUUAAGUCCCGCAACGAGCGCAACCCUUUUCCUUAUUUGCCAGCGAGUAAUGUCGGGAACUUUAAGGAUACUGCCAGUGACAAACUGGAGGAAGGCGGGGACGACGUCAAGUCAUCAUGGCCCUUACGGCCAGGGCUACACACGUGCUACAAUGGUCGGUACAAAGGGUUGCUACCUAGCGAUAGGAUGCUAAUCUCAAAAAGCCGAUCGUAGUCCGGAUUGGAGUCUGCAACUCGACUCCAUGAAGUCGGAAUCGCUAGUAAUCCGCGGGUAUUCCAAAG